rnacentral:rRNA from 1 species
GAUGAACGCUGGCGGCGUGCCUAAUACAUGCAAGUCGAGCGAACAGACGAGGAGCUUGCUCCUCUGACUUUAGCGGCGGACGGGUGAGUAACACGUGGAUAACCUACCUAUAAGACUGGGAUAACUUAGGGAAACCGGAGCUAAUACCGGAUAAUAUAUUGAACCGCAUGGUUCAAUAGUGAAAGACGGCUUUGCUGUCACUUAUAGAUGGAUCCGCGCCGCAUUAGCUAGUUGGUAAGGUAACGGCUUACCAAGGCAACGAUGCGUAGCCGACCUGAGAGGGUGAUCGGCCACACUGGAACUGAGACACGGUCCAGACUCCUACGGGAGGCAGCAGUAGGGAAUCUUCCGCAAUGGGCGAAAGCCUGACGGAGCAACGCCGCGUGAGUGAUGAAGGUCUUCGGAUCGUAAAGCUCUGUUAGUAGGGAAGAACAAAUGUGUAAGUAACUAUGCACGUCUUGACGGUACCUAAACAGAAAGCCACGGCUAACUACGUG